AUUCACAGAAGUCGAAAUUGGUUGGUGUCUACAAAUACAUGCACAUUACACUACUGUGCACUUACUUACUGGAAAUUAUCAUAGACAUGCUGGAAAAGUAGACUGCAUUACUUUGACUGACUCUUUGCUCCAGGUUUAAAUGAUUGGUUGUGUUCAAAUGUUCACAAGACAAGAGGAGGUUUAAAAUAGAAUUGUUUUUGGAUUUUUUGCACAGACUAAAACAGCAUAGAUCCCCAUCCAGACUAAAGCAGCAACAUUUACAGAGGCCAGCUGAGCAGACAACAUGAAUGUCGUUCUCCUGAUCACCAUUACUUUCACUCUCAUCCUUGUUCAUGGGUCCCCCAAGAAAGUGGCUCACAAUCAACAUCCUUGUGAGAAAAAGAACAAAAACAAUGCAUACAAUAAAUUUGUUUGGAAACACAUCCUUAAGGAGACCUUUGACAAAUCAUCAACGUCUGAAUGGGAAAAGUACCUACGAAUGAAGCACCUCUGCAAAAGACGUCGCCAGACCUUCUUCAUGGAAUCGGAUGAGGAAAACGUUAAGAAGAUCUGCAACGGCCAUGGCGUUAUUAAUAAUGAACACGACAACUUAUGCACAAGUGACUCAAAGAUGUUGGUAUAUUAUCUCAAUGUCACCUCGAACUGUAAAAUUCUAAGUAAAAAAGAAUUCAGGAAAUAUGUGGUUGUGGCUUGUGAUAAAGUUGAGAACGUCUGCCUUCCUGUCCAUUUUGAAAUGUUCACCAACAAAAGGCCAAACGGAGUCAGACCAUGUGGGCCACAGAUAUUGUAUUCUAGUCGUCAAGCUCAUUAUUGGCCAGAAAUCUAAAACCUCUGUCAAGCUUAGCUAAAUGAAGCCUUCUUCUGUUGUAAAGCUUUGUUCCACACGUGACGUACUUGGACAUAACAUACAGUUACCGGCUACUCUCUAGCGCCACAAAGGCGCGUCACUCCCCGACACGCUUGCAGCUUUAAUUUAUAACGGUAUCAUCUACUUCUACAGUUUAUCUGCUCAUUUUGUUUAAUCAAUUGUGUAUAAUUUUUAAGCGUGAUGUGUUAAUGAUUUUGCAGUGUAAUUUUUAACUCUAGUAUAAUGUAUUUUAUUGUAACAUAUCAGUUUAUUAUUUCAGGAUGCCUAAUAACAUCGGGCAAAGCGACUGCUGAAACUGAAACUAGCCUGUAGCUAACUCGGGUACAUUAGAUUUGUUCUGAAUGUACAUUGUCAUUUUUCAAAUAAACAAUAAAAUAAAAUAAUUUAUAUGGCAUUUUAUAUGUACAGGUGCAUCUCAUAUAUCGUGGAAAAGUUAUUUUAUUUAAGUUUGAUUUAUUCAAAAUGUGACACUGUCAUAUACUCUAGAUUCAUUGCACAUAAAGUGAAAUAUUUCAGGCCUUUUUUUUGUUUGAAUCUUGAUAACUUCGGCUUAUAGCUUAUGGAAAUCAGAGUUUUAUUACAGAAAGUGUAUGAAAAACAUUACCAAAACAGUCAUACAUUCUGUCAUUGUCUUACUUAUGGAUGAAAUUAUAGCGAAAAUAAAUUAUUCCCCUUUUUGCUGGGGUUCCCCCUGGAGCCCCCUCAAGGUCCCCUAGGGGAACCUGGACCCCACUUUGGGAACCAGUAGUCUACAGCGUCUCAGUGAGGCACAUUGGUUGAGCUAAAUGCUAACGUCAGCAUGCUCACAAUAGUAAUGCUAACAUGAUGGCGUUUAGUAGGUUUAAUGUUACCAUGUUCAUCAUCUUAGUUUAGCAUGUUACUAAUAUUUGCUAAUUAGCACUCCUAACUAAGUACAGCUGAGGCUGAUGGGAAUGUCAUUAAUUUUGAAGCUGUUUGGUCAUAAACCAAAGUAUUGGGCAAUUAAAAAUGUGACCUGAUGAUGGUGCCAGAGGAAAAGAAUUCAUCCUGAUGAAUAUGAAACAUGAAUAUGAGUGUAUGCACCUAAUUUAAUGAUGAUCCAUCUAUUCACAGUCUAUAAAUAUUUAAGUCUUCACUAAAGUUCCUAAAAAUGUAGAAUAAAAUCAAUCCAAGACAUUUAUUAUUAAGUAUAUUUUAGAGCCAGAAUUAUUUACCUUUGAAACUAAAGACACAUUUUAUCCAUUA